GAUGAACGCUGGCGGCGUGCCUAAUACAUGCAAGUCGAGCGAACGGACGAGAAGCUUGCUUCUCUGAUGUUAGCGGCGGACGGGUGAGUAACACGUGGAUAACCUACCUAUAAGACUGGGAUGACUUCGGGAAACCGUAGCUAAUACCGGAUAAUAUUUUGAACCGCAUGGUUCAAAAGUGAAAGACGGUCUUGCUGCCACUUAUAGAUGGAUCCGCGCUGCAUUAGCUAGUUGGUAAGGUAACGGCUUACCAAGGCAACGAUGCAUAGCCGACCUGAGAGGGUGAUCGGCCACACUGGAACUGAGACGCGGUCCAGACUCCUACGGGAGGCAGCAGUAGGGAAUCUUCCGCAAUGGGCGAAAGCCUGACGGAGCAACGCCGCGUGAGUGAUGAAGGUCUUCGGAUCGUAAAACUCUGUUAUUAGGGAAGAACAUAUGUGUAAGUAACUGUGCACAUCUUGACGGUACCUAAUCAGAAAGCCACGGCUAACUACGUG
rnacentral:rRNA from 1 species